UCAAAUCACGCUGAAACACCGGUUCUCGUUCGAUCACCGAAGUUAAGCAUCGUAGAGCCAGGUCAGUACUUAGAUGGGGACCGCUUGGGAACACCUGGUACUGUAAG